GACGAACGCUGGCGGCGUGCCUAAUACAUGCAAGUAGAACGCUGAAGGAGGAGCUUGCUUCUCUGGAUGAGUUGCGAACGGGUGAGUAACGCGUAGGUAACCUGCCUGGUAGCGGGGGAUAACUAUUGGAAACGAUAGCUAAUACCGCAUAAGAGUAGAUGUUGCAUGACAUUUGCUUAAAAGGUGCAAUUGCAUCACUACCAGAUGGACCUGCGUUGUAUUAGCUAGUUGGUGGGGUAACGGCUCACCAAGGCGACGAUACAUAGCCGACCUGAGAGGGGGAUCGGCCACACUGGGACUGAGACACGGCCCAGACUCCUACGGGAGGCAGCAGUAGGGAAUCUUCGGCAAUGGACGGAAGUCUGACCGAGCAACGCCGCGUGAGUGAAGAAGGUUUUCGGAUCGUAAAGCUCUGUUGUAAGAGAAGAACGAGUGUGAGAGUGGAAAGUUCACACUGUGACGGUAUCUUACCAGAAAGGGACGGCUAACUACGU
rnacentral:rRNA from 1 species